GACGAACGCUGGCGGCGUGCCUAAUACAUGCAAGUAGAACGCUGAAGAGAGGAGCUUGCUCUUCUUGGAUGAGUUGCGAACGGGUGAGUAACGCGUAGGUAACCUGCCUUGUAGCGGGGGAUAACUAUUGGAAACGAUAGCUAAUACCGCAUAACAAUGGAUGACACAUGUCAUUUAUUUGAAAGGGGCAAUUGUUCCACUACAAGAUGGACCUGCGUUGUAUUAGCCAGUAGGUGAGGUAAUGGCUCACCUAGGCGACGAUACAUAGCCGACCUGAGAGGGUGAUCGGCCACACUGGGACUGAGACACGGCCCAGACUCCUACGGGAGGCAGCAGUAGGGAAUCUUCGGCAAUGGGGGCAACCCUGACCGAGCAACGCCGCGUGAGUGAAGAAGGUUUUCGGAUCGUAAAGCUCUGUUGUAAGUCAAGAACGGGUGUGAGAGUGGAAAGUUCACACUGUGACGGUAGCUUACCAGAAAGGGACGGCUAACUACGUG
rnacentral:rRNA from 1 species